rnacentral:rRNA from 1 species
CCUACGGGAGGCUGCAGUGGGGAAUAUUGCACAAUGGGGGAAACCCUGAUGCAGCGACGCCGCGUGAGUGAAGAAGUAAUUCGUUAUGUAAAGCUCUAUCAGCAGGGAAGAAAAUGACGGUACCUGAGUAAGAAGCCCCGGCUAACUACGUGCCAGCAGCCGCGGUAAUACGUAGGGGGCAAGCGUUACCCGGAUUUACUGGGCGUAAAGGGAGCGUAGACGGCAGUGCAAGUCUGAAGUGAAAGGCGGGGGCUCAACCCCAGGACUGCUCUUGAAACUGUAAGGCUUGAGUGCAGGAGAGGUAAGUGGAAUUCCUGGUGUAGCGGUGAAAUGCGUAGAGAUUAGGAGGAACACCAGUUGCGAAGGCGGCCUACUGGACCAUAACUGACGUUGAGGCUCGAAAGCGUGGGGAGCAAACAGGAUUAGAUACCCGGGUAGUC